AGAACGAACGCUGGCGGCAUGCCUAACACAUGCAAGUCGAACGUGAUCCAGGCUUCGGCCUGGUGAAAGUGGCAGACGGGUGAGUAACGCGUGGGAACCUGCCCUGUGGUAGGGAAUAACCGUGGGAAACUGCGGCUAAUACCCUAUGAGUCCUUCGGGAGAAAGAUUUAUCGCCAUAGGAGGGGCCCGCGUCGGAUUAGGUAGUUGGUGGGGUAACGGCCUACCAAGCCUUCGAUCCGUAGCUGGUCUGAGAGGAUGAUCAGCCACACUGGGACUGAGAUACGGCCCAGACUCCUACGGGAGGCAGCAGUGGGGAUAUUGGACAAUGGGGGCAACCCUGAUCCAGCAAUGCCGCGUGGAUGAUGAAGGCCUUCGGGUUGUAAAGUCCUUUCGGCGGGAAGAUGAUGACGGUACCGCAGAAGAAGCCCCGGCUAACUUCGUGCCAGCAGCCGC
rnacentral:rRNA from 1 species